rnacentral:rRNA from 1 species
GAUGAACGCUGGCGGCGUGCCUAAUACAUGCAAGUCGAGCGAAUGGAUUAAGAGCUUGCUCUUAUGAAGUUAGCGGCGGACGGGUGAGUAACACGUGGGUAACCUGCCCAUAAGACUGGGAUAACUCCGGGAAACCGGGGCUAAUACCGGAUAACAUUUUGAACCGCAUGGUUCGAAAUUGAAAGGCGGCUUCGGCUGUCGCUGAUGGAUGGGCCUGCGGCGCAUUAGCUGGUUGGCGGGGUAACGGCCCACCAAGGCAACGAUGCGUAGCCGACCUGAGAGGGUGAUCGGCCACACUGGGACUGAGACACGGCCCAGACUCCUACGGGAGGCAGCAGUAGGGAAUCUUCCGCAAUGGACGCAAGUCUGACGGAGCAACGCCGCGUGAGUGAAGAAGGGUUUCGGCUCGUAAAACUCUGUUGUUAAGGAAGAACGCCAGGUAGAGUAACUGCUACCUGUGUGACGGUACUUAACCAGAAAGCCACGGCUAACUACGUGCCAGCAGCCGCUGUAA